rnacentral:misc_RNA from 1 species
AAUCGGAUCGCCUAAGAGUUUGCUGUCGGCAGUCAGCUACAUCCAGUUAAAUAUAAAGCCUUAAAUAAGACUUAAUAAAAUUAUCUAAAUUUUGAAAGAAUGGCAUCGAAUGGCUAUGGAAUGGUUCCCAAGGUCUGCAAACAACUCCUUCUUGGCAUCUGGUCUAAAAUAGGGAAGAAUGUGCCAUACAAAGUGCACUACUGUUUUUUGGAGAAAUCCUCGCCUCGAAUUUGCACAAUAUUUUUAGAAUUCAAUCCUUGUCCAGAGCUGGAGGGAAAAAGCUCCAAGAGGCGGACCGGCGAACACUUUCAGGGCCUACAAGCUGGCUCAAUUAUAGACUUUAAUAUGAUCAUUGUAACCUUGUUCGGGAUUAUACUACCAUUUCUUGUAGCCGUGAACCUCUUUUAAGACAUAGUACCACAUCCUCUUUGAAUAAUUAGGCAUUAUCCAUUUUUAUUCAGAAACAACGGACAAUAAACUAACCAAUAGUAGCUGAUAGA